rnacentral:rRNA from 1 species
UACGUAGGGUGCGAGCGUUAAUCGGAAUUACUGGGCGUAAAGCGUCCGCAGGUGGUUUUGUAAGUCUGAUGUGAAAUACCCGAGCUCAACUUGGGUUCUGCGUUGGAAACUACUAAACUAGAGUAUGGCAGAGGGGGGUAGAAUUCCACAUGUAGCAGUGAAAUGCGUAGAUAUGUGGAGGAAUACCGAUGGCGAAGGCAGCCCCCUGGGCUAAUACUGACACUCAUGGACGAAAGCGUGGGGAGCAAACAGG